GAGUAAGUGAAUAAGGGCGUACGGGGGAUGCCUAGGCUCCCAGAGGCGAAGAAGGACGUGCCAAGCUGCGAUAAGCCACGGGGACCCGCAAGUGGGGCUGAUCCGUGGAUUUCCGAAUGGGGCAACCCAUCCCGCACAAGCGGGAUACCCCGGUCAAUCCGGGGGGCGAACCUGCCGAACUGAAACAUCUAAGUAGGCAGAGGAGGAGAAAACAAGAGUGAUUCCGUGAGUAGUGGCGAGCGAAAGCGGAACAGCCCAAACCGUGUAUGUUACGGCAUAUACGGGGUAAUAGGACCUGCGCAAGACAUAAUUAUGUGACCUGAGCGUACUGGGAAGUACGGCCGUAGAGGGUGAGAGCCCCGUAAGGGAAGUGUGUUUAUGUUGGCGGGUAUCCUGAGUAGGCCGGGACAGGAGAAAUCCCGGUUGAAUUAUCCGGCACCAUCCGGAAAGGCUAAAUACUCCUGGGAGACCGAUAGUGAACAAGUACCGUGAGGGAAAGGUGAAAAGUACUCCGAAUAGGAGGGUGAAACAGAACCUGAAACCGUGCGCUUACAAGCGGUCGGAGUCCCGUACAUACGGGAUGACGGCGUGCCUUUUGCAUAAUGAGCCUACGAGUUACGCCUCACUGGCGAGGUUAAGUGUUUUAAAGCACGCAGCCGGAGCGAAAGCGAGUCUGAACAGGGCGUUGAGUCAGUGGGGGUAGACGCGAAACUUUGUGAUCUACCCAUGGACAGGUUGAAGUUGCGGUAACACGCAAUGGAGGACCGAACCGAUAAACGUUGAAAAGUUUCCGGAUGAUCUGUGGGUAGGGGUGAAAGGCCAAUCAAACUGAGAAAUAGCUCGUACUCCCCGAAAUGUUUUUAGGAACAGCGUCGUGGAAUGUAUGAAGGAGGUAGAGCUACCGAUAGGACUAGGGGGAGUCACAUCCUACCAAAUCCUGACGAACUCCGAAUGCCUUUAUACAGUAACGGCAGUGAGGGCUCGGGUGCUAAGGUCCGAGUCCGAGAGGGAAAGAACCCGGACCUACCGCUAAGGUCCCGAAAUUUACACUAAGUUGAACAAAGGUGGUCCAGCUGCAGAGACAGCCAGGAGGUUAGCUUGGAAGCAGCUAUUCCUUUAAAGAGUGCGUAACAGCUCACUGGUCGAGCGGCAGGGCGUCGAUAAUAAUCGGGCAUCAAGUGUAAUACCGAAGCGUAGGAUUUCUCCCGUAGAUACGGGAGGAGUGGUAGGGGAGCAUUCCAACGGCGGCGAAGGUGCAUGGCGAUGUGCGCUGGAGUUUUUGGAAAAGCAAAUGUAGGCAUAAGUAACGAUAAUGCGGGCGAGAAACCCGCACACCGAUAGACCAAGGUUUCCUGAUCAACGCUAAUCGGAUCAGGGUCAGUCGGGACCUAAGGAUAACCCGAAGGGGGAUUCCGAUGGAAAAUGGGUUAAUAUUCCCAUACCUGUCAUACAGGUGACGGAGUGACGGAGUGAUGAAAGGACCGCGCGGUGACGGAAUACCGCGUUGAAGGGUGUAGGUAUUGUUUCCAUAGUUAAAUGCGUGGGGAUAGCCGAACCUGAUAGUACCGCAAUCUUUCGGGAGCGCGGAUAGAGUCCCUAAUAGCUUCCAAGAAAAACUUCUGGCGAUAAGCGUAUGACGGCCCGUACCGCAAACCGACACAGGUGGUCAAGGAGAGAAUCCUGAGGUGCUCGAGUGAAUCAUGGCUAAGGAACUCGGCAAAAUGGCCCUGUAACUUCGGGAGAAGGGGCGCCCUCUGUAAUGGGGGGCCGCAGUGAAAAGGCCCAGGCGACUGUUUAGCAAAAACACAUGGCUUUGCGAACCCGGGAGGGGAAGUAUAAGGCCUGACACCUGCCCGGUGCCGGAAGGUUAAGAGGGGAUGUUAUCGUAAGAGAAGCAUUGAAUUGAAGCCCCGGUAAACGGCGGCCGUAACUAUAACGGUCCUAAGGUAGCGAAAUUCCUUGUCGGGUAAGUUCCGACCUGCACGAAUGGUGUAACGAUCUGGGCGCUGUCUCAGCCAUGAGCUCGGUGAAAUUGUAGUCGCGGUGAAGAUGCCGCGUACCCGCAACGGGACGGAAAGACCCCAUGAACCUUUACUGCAGCUUGGCAUUGGUAUCGGGUAAACGAUGUGUAGGAUAGGCGGGAGACUGCGAAUCUGUGUCGCCAGGCAUGGAGGAGUCGCUGUUGAAAUACCGCCCUUUGUUUGCCUGGUAUCUAAUCCCGCAAUGCGGGAGACAUUGCCUGGUGGGUAGUUUGACUGGGGUGGUCGCCUCCAAAAGGAUAACGGAGGCUUCCAAAGGUUCCCUCAGCACGCUUGGUAACCGUGCGCGGAGUGCAAUAGCAUAAGGGAGCUUGACUGUAAGGCCGACAAGCCGAGCAGGGUGGAAACACGGGUAUAGUGAUCCGGCGGUACUGCAUGGAAAGGCCGUCGCUCAAAGGAUAAAAGGUACUCUGGGGAUAACAGGCUGAUCUCCCCCAAGAGCUCAUAUCGACGGGGAGGUUUGGCACCUCGAUGUCGGCUCGUCACAUCCUGGGGCUGGAGAAGGUCCCAAGGGUUGGGCUGUUCGCCCAUUAAAGUGGCACGCGAGCUGGGUUCAGAACGUCGUGAGACAGUUCGGUCCCUAUCUGUUGCGGGCGUGGGAAGUUUGAGGAGCUCUGACCUUAGUACGAGAGGACCGGGUUGGACCGACCGCUGGUGUACCGGUUGUGGUGCCAACUGCACUGCCGGGUAGCUACGUCGGGCAGGGAUAAGCGCUGAAAGCAUCUAAGUGCGAAACCCCCUCCGAGAUGAGACUUCCAUAUAGGGCCGUCAGAGACGAUGACGUUGAUAGGCUGCAGGUGUAAAGUCAGUAAUGACAAAGCCGAGCAGUACUAAUAGCCCGAAAGCUUACCGGU
rfam:Indibacter alkaliphilus LW1 Indibacter_contig_24, whole genome shotgun sequence.